rnacentral:misc_RNA from 1 species
ACUGAGUUUACGCUCUACAACCCUUUGUGAACAUACCUACAACUGUUGCUUCGGCGGGUAGGGUCUCCGCGACCCUCCCGGCCUCCCGCCUCCGGGCGGGUCGGCGCCCGCCGGAGGAUAACCAAACUCUGAUUUAACGACGUUUCUUCUGAGUGGUACAAGCAAAUAAUCA